rnacentral:lncRNA from 1 species
UUAUUAGAAUCUUCAUUGGCAUUAUUAUUUGAUCAUAAAGAGGGGGAAUAUGUCUACUUGUUGAGUUUUUCAAAUCUUUUUUCCUGAAUAUAAAUAAGACUGUUUAAAGGAAUAGUUUUUUCUCCUACCAUCUGAUACCGAGUAAAGAAAAUGAAUUUGCACAGAUUUCUCCCUGCGUAAUCUCUUGGCAAUAAUCCUUAGCAAAGUUUGGGGAUGACUUUUAAGCUUUUACGUCAUGCAUUCGUACCUGUCUCUCAUGAAAAUAAAUGAGACCAUGAUUUCUCCCCACAGUGUUAUCAUGAGUUUAAUCUUCAUGUGUGUAUUCCUUAAACACGGCAGACCUUUGGACUUUGUAUUACCUGUAUGUUUUAUAAUGGAUCAUGCAAAAUGUCUCAGGAGAAUAAAAUAAGGAUUUGUAAAUAUGUUCAUCUUUCAAGGCAAAGCAAAUGAGUUGGGAAGAGGGCAUUUCUGGUCGAAUAAUGGAAUAUUUUCAUUUUUUUUAUGUCAUUCUCUGCUGCCUAAUUGUUCAGCAUAGCGAAAACUGGAAAAAAGCAAAAAGCGAAGAAAAAAGAAAUAACCACACACACACACACACACACAAACCCCAGCAGCAGCCUCUUCUCUGGAAAGUGACAGCAGAAAUUGGUGGCAUGGAGUUUUUGUCCUUGGACAAUAAAACCACAAAUAGUGGGAUUAAUCAUUAUUAUAAGAAGACAGUUGAGGCCAAGUUUUGGCCAUUCUUUACUUUGUUUUAUCUGCCGAAACAAUUAGCCAAGAUGCUGUGAAAGACAGGCUUUUUGUGACCUUUUGCUGUUGUCUUUUAAUUUACAAACAGUUUUGGUAAAUCUCUUAAUGUAAGUGGCUCUUUGACUUUGGAAUUUUGCGUUUGAGGUAUUCUGUUUCUUGAAAUAUUUUUAUUGUUCAGUUGCUCUGGAAAAUGUGAGGAAGCUUAAGUUUAUAUUAAAUUCUUACUGCCAUCCUUUAGUCAAAUAUGUCUUCACAUUGUUUAAAAAUAUUAUUUUCCAGCAUAUAAUUUUUUCCUGUACUACAUGGCUAGGAGUCUAGAGAAUUAAUUAUAAAAUAUUUUCAAUACAUCCACCAUUGCACUUCUCAUUUUUUAAAAUGAUCCCUUUGCCAUAUAGAAUCUUAGAUUGAGAGCUGACAGUGCCUGUGUCACCCAUAGUUAUGUUUUCUUCAGUGAUGGGCAUGUUAGGGGGCCAGGUGCUGGGUCAGUUUUAUUGGGUCUCCUGUGUCCUCAAUCAAAACAUCAACACAGAGAUGGAAUACUUGCUGGACCGUAGAUCAGUGUUCAUGAGGGCUUUUUGAAAUUUUAAAUUCCCUUUUUUCUCAUGCUCUUGUCGUACAGCAACCAGCCUAAUAAAACUACAAAAUAUUCGACCAAAAUUAAGCAAUUUCAUGGUGUAAAUCCUUCCUGACCAAGUCGGUUCUGGUGAGCUCCCUAGGCAUGAGGCUUGGGUACAACCUGUCAUGUUAGUUGACCUCCCACAUCCAUUUCGAAGAUCAAAGCCAGGGACUGGCUAACUUCAGUCCCAUGAGCUGGGAAUGGUCUUUACGUUGUUUUCAAAAAAAGGGUUUUAUGAUGUUGAAGAUGAUUAUUCAAAUUUUAGUGUUUAUAGUUUUAUUGAAACAACCAUGCUCGUUUGUUUACAUAUUGCCUGUAGCUACUUUUGUGCCACAGAGGUUCACUGUUACAUAGUUGGAGAUGAGACGGGCCUACAAAGCCCAAAUAAUUACUGUCUGGCCCUUUACAGAAAAAACCACCGCUGUUUAGACUGUGAUUCACCCGUCAUAUAUUAAAGUGUAUGAUGCUUCCU